CGAAGCCUUUGGGGAGAGUAA
rnacentral:miRNA from 1 species